UUUUUAUUUUCAUUUUCUUUUCUUUUUCAUUUUCUUUUUUCCUUUUUUUCCUCUCCUCUCUUUCUCUUUCUUCUUUCUUCUUUCUUUCUUCUCCAUCUCGUUUACACAGGGGAGGCCAACAGGGGGCGCACGCCGGUGGUGGGAGAGGCCGAGUCCGGCCGUGGGGCACCGGAUCCACGGUCAUGGGGUCCUGGCGACCCCUUCCCGGUGGGUGGUGGCGGCCAAAAGGCGGCCGACGGGGCUGGCAACACCGCCCAGCCCGACGCCGCCUUGCCGCGCCUCCUCUCCCCACCCCCGCGCGCGGCCGUCGACGUUCUCGCCUAGGCCGCCUCUCUAGCCCAACGCCACCGUCGAUGUCGCCUCUCUCCCCCAACGUCACUGGUGACGCCGCCGCUCUCCCUCAACACCGCCACCGAUGACGUCACUCUGCCCCCUUCCCAGCGAUCGGCAGCCGCGGCCGCCCCCUCACCAGCGUCGGUCGCCGCUCGCCGGGCGGAAGACAUUGCCUACUGCUUGUGUCGUUGUGCGUGAGAGUUGAGAGAUGGUGUGAGAUAGAUAGGAGAAAGAGGAGGGUC
rnacentral:lncRNA from 1 species